rnacentral:rRNA from 1 species
AUAUAAAAUAACUCCCGAGUGAUUAAAAUCUAGACAAACUAGUCGAAAUAACAUAUCAUUAAUUGAUCCAAAAAUUUGAUCAACGGAACAAGUUACCCUAGGGAUAACAGCGCAAUCCUAUUUGAGAGUCCAUAUCGACAAUAGGGUUUACGACCUCGAUGUUGGAUCAGGACAUCCCAAUGGUGCAGCCGCUAUUAAUGGUUCGUUUGUUCAACGAUUAAAGUCCUACGUGAUCUGAGUUCAGACCGGAGCA